GAUGAACGCUGGCGGCGUGCCUAAUACAUGCAAGUCGAGCGAAGCGGGGACGGGUGAGUAACACGUGGAUAACCUCCUAUAAGACUGGGAUAACUUCGGGCAACCGGAGCUAAACCGUAUACUUACAGAUGGAUCCGCGCUGCAUUAGCUAGUUGGUAAAGUAACGGCUUACCAAGGAAACGAUGCAUAGCGGACCUGAUAGAGUGAUCGGCAACACUGGAACUGAGACACGGUCCAUACUCCUACGUGAGGCAGCAGUAGGGAAUCUUCCGCAAUGGGCGAAAGCCUGACAGAGCAACGCCGCGUGAGUGAUGAAGGUCUUCGGAGCGUAAAACUCUGUUAUUAGGGAAGCGGUACCUAAUCAGAAAGCCACGGCUAACUACGUGCCAGCAGCCGCGGUAAUAC
rnacentral:rRNA from 1 species